rnacentral:rRNA from 1 species
AGUUCGUACUGUGAAGCAUCCCUGUUAAGUCAGGCAACGAGCGAGACCCACGCCCACCAGUUGCCAGCGUACUCUCCGGAGUGACGGGUACACUGUGGGGGACCGGCCGCUGCUAAAGCGGAGGAAGGAAUGGGCAACGGUAGGUCAGUAUGCCCCGAAUAUCCCGGGCUACACGCGAGCUACAAUGGUUGGUACAAUGGGUAUCUACCCGAAAGGGGACGGAAAUCUCCUAAAACCAAUCUUAGUUCGGAUUGAGGGCUGCAACUCGCCCUCAUGAAGCUGGAAUCCGUAGUAAUCGCGUUUCAACAGAACGCGGUGAAUACGUCCCUGCUCCUU